rnacentral:rRNA from 1 species
UUGAACGCUGGCGGCAUGCCUUACACAUGCAAGUCGAACGGUAACAGGUCUUCGGAUGCUGACGAGUGGCGAACGGGUGAGUAAUACAUCGGAACGUGCCCGAUCGUGGGGGAUAACGAGGCGAAAGCUUUGCUAAUACCGCAUACGAUCUACGGAUGAAAGCGGGGGAUCUUCGGACCUCGCGCGGACGGAGCGGCCGAUGGCAGAUUAGGUAGUUGGUGGGAUAAAAGCUUACCAAGCCAACGAUCUGUAGCUGGUCUGAGAGGAUGAUCAGCCACACUGGGACUGAGACACGGCCCAGACUCCUACGGGAGGCAGCAGUGGGGAAUUUUGGACAAUGGGCGAAAGCCUGAUCCAGCCAUGCCGCGUGCAGGAUGAAGGCCUUCGGGUUGUAAACUGCUUUUGUACGGAACGAAAAGCCUCUUUCUAAUAAAGAGGGGUCAUGACGGUACCGUAAGAAUAAGCACCGGCUAACUACGUG